rnacentral:sRNA from 1 species
CCCAAAGUAUACCCACUUAAGCAACGUCAGGGAAACAAACCGCGCUCUCUCAAGACUUAGGGACGUAAAAAGCUCUAAAAGACAUGGAAAGAAGCUGUGCUGAGGCUUUCCGAAAACUCAGGCUUCUUUGUGCUGCUCAUUUGUAUGUGGGCAGUACCAAGACGCUAUGACAGAUGCGCAAGCGUCCUUUGGACAAAGAGGGCGGCUGAGAGCGCCACUCGCCCAGAGCGUUCUGGGCGGGGCCUGGAACUGGGGGCGGGGCCCGGCACGUAGGCGGGGUCUCGUCAGGUCCAGGUCCCGCCCCAUUUGAGGGUUAUUAGUAUCUGUUGAGGGGUCUUAAGUUCCUAGGGUUGUUAGGAAUUUCACCUCAAUUAAGUCAAGAGCAGCUUUUUGGAGCCGGCAGUGAGUACAUUACUUGUAAGCGAAAUUCUGUCUUAAUGCCUGGAAAAGUGACCAGAAAGGAGAAGAGUGAUCUAGGAGAGAGAAGAGGAAAGGACAGCUUUAUUGAGUUUGGGAAGAACACGUUGACAUCAGCUCCCUGCUCUGUCCUUCUCAUGGUUGAAUGUCAAUAUGGCGCAGCAAGCUGCCUCCCAGUUGCCUGCCUGCCUGCCUUCCAAGCAAGUCAAAAGCACAUCCAAGGAGAUUAUGGAUUUAACUCAAGUUUGACACAUCACAUUUCAUUUCACUGGUAAAGAAAGGCUGAGGAGAGCAGUCUGCUACCUUGAUUCCAAACAAGCCCAUGCCAUCCAGCCAAAGACACGGGACGGAGCUCAGCUUUCUAAUUAUUGGAGAGUCAUUUCCUUGUGCGAACAUCACCUGACCUGAGUGAGCAUCAUCAAACUUCAACGCCAUGCUGUCCUCUUCACCACCCCGCCCCCGCCCCUAUGAGUUCACAGAACAACCCAGACUAUUUUAAGUCACAGGAUAGGUAAGAAUCAACCCAAGGUGCCCGGGCCUCUCUCCCUGGGCAGAAGCGAGGGUUCUGUGAACACACACAGCGUUGUUUCAGCACAGAUGUCGGGAACGGGAGCCUGCAGAUCUACCCAGGCAGUUCUGUUCUUGAAUCAUUAAGAACAAGCGAGUGGGUGGGAAAGUACACGGCAUUGCUGUGUGUGCUCGUGUUUUGUUUAUGGGGCAAUCAUUUCUAGAUAUGUUAUCUCUUUUUCUUUCUUUCUUCCCUUUUUCAAACGAAGAACCCUUUCCAUGUCUUCCUGUAACACCCCACCUUCCUGCCUGCCCCCAGUUCUCCCACACCCACUUAAAAAGAAAAAAAAAGUUGGGUAUUACAGAAAUCCCCACACAUUUAAAAGAAUAGGCUACAGGUGACAUUGUCUCUCUAAACCAACUCCAUUUAUUCAGUCAAAAUAAGUGAUUUACUAAUAUGACUAAUGCAGGGUAACAAUUGAAUUUGAACAUUGUGUAUCACGUAGAGAGAUGGAACGACCUAUGCCAAGUCGUAAAAAUGGCUCUACUCUUUCAGCAGCGAUUAAAGGGCAUCUUGUGUCCCUGCUAUAGGAUCGUCCACUUCAUUAAGCCUUGGGUUCUUUAUGAUGUCAAAAUGAAAGCCCUUCAUGUGCAUAUGUAUGUGCGUUGGACAUAGUAAGUGUUGGUAUUCCAAAGGGUGGGCUUCCUCUGGGUUUCAAAUGUACAUCUAAGAAAAAGUUUUCUUUGAUCCCAAAUAUACUUAAUCUUAUUCUCUGCCUAUAAUGAAUAUAUAUGUGUGCUCCAGCAUCUUGUCAAGUCCAGGCGCUUACUACACCCAGGACAGCUCCAGAGAAGCGACCUCCAGAUGCUCCAAUCCCUCUCACAGACACAGGCGCUUCUAUUGGACCUGUUCCUUCUGACCUAUCCUCAGGGGGUUUCACAGACUCUGGACCACAGGAAACAGCCAACUCCAAGACUGGACAAACAUCCCAUACCCACUUUUCUAGGUUUCCUAGAGACACGUUGCCCCCAAGCAAGCAGGAAGCAGUCAGAGAGCACGACAACCCCAUUCCUGUUCUACCAUCGCCUUUCUAAUUUUUCUUUUUAAUUAAACCGAAACAGAGAA